UACGGGGGGGGCUAGCGUUGUUCGGAAUUACUGGGCGUAAAGGGCGCGUAGGCGGUCUACUAAGUUGGAUGUGAAAACUCUGGGCUUAACCCAGAGCCUGCAUUCAAAACUGAUAGGCUAGAGUUCUGGAGGGGAUAGCGGAAUUCCUGGUGUAGCGGUGAAAUGCGUAGAUAUCAGGAGGAACACCGGUGGCGAAGGCGGCUAUCUGGACAGAAACUGACGCUGAGGCGCGAAAAGCUGGGGGAGCAAACAGG
rnacentral:rRNA from 1 species